AUAAAGAAACGGAGACAGGGGUCAACCAACUGAUAAUAUUGAUUAUUGCGGUUGCUGUGCGUGAAGAGUGUUUGUGUGAGUGUCACCUUGGAAGAAAAAGAAGAAAUUGAGAAAAAAAAAGCGUAGAUUUGGGAAGGAAAGAGAGAAAAGAUAGGGGGAUGGAUAACAGAAUGGGAUACCGAUAGGAA
ensembl:ncRNA F17C8.12 ncRNA